CGAGCAGGAGAACCCGCUGAACUUAAGCAUAUCAUUAAGCGGAGGAAAAGAAACUAACCAGGAUUCCCUUAGUAACGGCGAGCGAACCGGGAGUAGCCCAACCACGAAGCGCAUUGAACCUGAGCCAAGGGAGGCCAGGUUCUAGUGCAUUGUAGGGUAAAAGGAAAACGGAGUGGUGAAUCCGAUGGGUGUAUUCCUAGCUAAAGGGAAACCCUAUACCCGCACGUGUCUGAAGAGGAACUGGAAUGUCCCACCAGAGAGAGUGAGAGUCUCGUAAGUCACGCGCGGGUUGGGUCCAAUACCCUUUACCAGGGCCCGGAUGAUCCACCAAUUCCUGAGAGUCGGGUUGCUUGAGAGUGCAGCCUGAAGCGGGUGGUAGACCCCAUCCAAGGCUAAAUACAACCGGGAGACCGAUAGCGAACAAGUAC
rnacentral:rRNA from 1 species